UGGCUCAGAGGUUAAAGCAUCUGCCUCCAAUGCAGGAAACCCAGGUUCAAUCCCUGG
rnacentral:tRNA from 1 species